GGUGAACGCUGGCGGCGUGCUUAAGACAUGCAAGUCGAACGGCAGUCUUCGGACUGUAGUGGCGCACGGGUGAGUAACGCGUAACUGACCUACCCCAAAGUCGCGGAUAACGAUUCGAAAGAAUCGCUAAUACGUGAUGAGCUGUCAGAUUGUGUUCUGCCAGUAAAGAUUGAUUGCUUUGGGAUGGGGUUGCGUUCCAUCAGCUAGUUGGUGGGGUAAAGGCCCACCAAGGCGACGACGGAUAGCCGGCCUGAGUGGGUGGCCGGCCACAGGGGCACUGAGACACGGGUCCCACUCCUACGGGAGGCAGCAGUUAGGAAUCUUCCACAAUGGGCGAAAGCCUGAUGGAGCGACGCCGCGUGAGGGAUGAAGGUCUUCGGAUCGUAAACCUCUGAAUCAGGGACGAAAGACACUUCGGUGGGAUGACGGUACCUGAGUAAUAGCACCGGCUAACUCCGUGCCAGCCGCCGCAGUAAAAC
rnacentral:rRNA from 1 species